CACCUCUCCAAAAUCUGAAGGAAAUUCAGACUUCUUUGCCCAAAACCUGAAUAGAAUCUCAGAUUUUCUCUUGGGAGGAGAGAGGUUUCAAGCUCCACACCUCUUCUCUUAAAUUCUAAAAACAGCCUCAGAUUUCCACAAAAA